rnacentral:rRNA from 1 species
AGCGUUGUUCGUAAUUACUGAGUGUAACGCAUAAAAAAGCAUAUAUAUAUAACUAUGGAGUUAUAUAUGAUUUUAAUAUUUUUUUUUUUUAAUAUUUUAUAAUGUAAUGAUAAAAUAUAAUAACAAUAUAAGAUUUUUUUUAUAAAAAAAAAAAAUAUUUAGGCAUUAUUAUGAAGGUAUAAGUAUCAAAUAGGAUUAGGUACCCUAGUAGUUUUUACAGUAAAAUAAGGUUAUUUAAAUUUAACAUAAAUAACUUGCUUAGGUAGUACGAUCGCAAGAUUGAAAUUUAACAGAAUUGGCGGGAAUUUAAUUUAACGGUGGAGUAUGUGGUUUAAUUCGAUAAUCCACGAAAAAUCUUACCAGUAUGUUUUUUAAUUUUUAAAUUUAUUUAUUGUUUAUUUAAUAAAUUAAUUGGUAGUAUUGCAUGGCUGUCGUCAACUCGUGUUGUGAAAUGUAAAAUUAAGUUUUUUAACGAGUGAAAUCUCUAGUAUUUUAUUUUUUUAUUUAAAUAUAAAAAAUACAAAUAUUGUUUGUUAGAGCUGAAGUCAAGUCAGUAUGAUCUUUGUAUGCUGGGCUAUACACGUGCUACAAUGAUAAAAACAAAGAAUGUUUAUAAUGUAAAUUAAAAUUAUUUUUUAAAAAUUAUCUAAGUACGGAUUAUUUUUUGUAAUUUAAAAAUAUGAAGUUGAAAUCGUUAGUAAUUAUAAAUGAGUAUGUUAUAGUGAAAAAUAAAAUUAAAUUUUGUACACACUGCCCCAUCACGCCUCGGAAAAAUUUUUUUAUUUUUUUUUUAAAAAUAAAAUUUUAUUUAAAAUAAUUUUAAUAUUUUUUUUUAAAAUAUAUAAAAUUUUUAUUUUUUUUAUAUUAUAAAUAGGGUAAUUUGAGUG